rnacentral:rRNA from 1 species
GACGAACGCUGGCGGCGUGCCUAAUACAUGCAAGUGGGACGCAAGGGAACACACUGUGCUUGCACACCGUGUUUUCUUGAGUCGCGAACGGGUGAGUAACGCGUAGGUAACCUGCCUAUUAGCGGGGGAUAACUAUUGGAAACGAUAGCUAAUACCGCAUAAUAUUAAUUAUUGCAUGAUAAUUGAUUGAAAGAUGCAAGCGCAUCACUAGUAGAUGGACCUGCGUUGUAUUAGCUAGUUGGUAAGGUAAGAGCUUACCAAGGCGACGAUACAUAGCCGACCUGAGAGGGUGAUCGGCCACACUGGGACUGAGACACGGCCCAGACUCCUACGGGAGGCAGCAGUAGGGAAUCUUCGGCAAUGGACGAAAGUCUGACCGAGCAACGCCGCGUGAGUGAAGAAGGUUUUCGGAUCGUAAAGCUCUGUUGUAAGUCAAGAACGUGUGUGAGAGUGGAAAGUUCACACAGUGACGGUAGCUUACCAGAAAGGACGGCUA